rnacentral:misc_RNA from 1 species
AGUGUGAUUGGGUCGAGAUAAAAGAUCAGUUGUUCAAUAAGUCAGCGUAUUCCGUCAGAAUGUUGAAGUUGCUAUCAGGACUGUUCCUUGCAACAUGGCUGGGUAUUGCUCGAUCGCAACAAGAAGACCUUCAUUAUAUUGGUGUUGGAUACAAUAUGUUGACCGGAAAUCCAGACGGUAGCUUGGUGACAAACGGAGGAGUCGAUCCAGGUCUGCUGUACACUCGGAAAAUUCUGGAAGUUACCGGGCAUGACUCGCCGAUGAGAGUUCAAAUCGAACACCGCCACAGCUGUGCCCAGCAGAAUACUACCUCCAUGUAUUUUGGGACAAAAUCGUAUCAAGACAAAUUAAAAAUGAACUUUAAAUCUUCAGGGGGUGGAAAUUUUGGGCUGGCAUCAUUUUCAUUUACCUUAAGUGCGAGGUAUCAAGAAGCUCACAAUCAAACUAAUGUCGAGCGGAAUGUGAUCCAGGAUCAGCAGUCUGUGUGUAAUUUGGGUCGUGUGCGAUACAUGUCAGAACUGGCCAGAGCACAAAAAUUUCCCAUCACGCCCAGCUUUGCUGCCACUGUCUGUUCACUUCCUGUAACCUACAACCAAUCAGAAUACAUGGAUUUCUUGGAUCACUGGGGAACGCAUGUGACUACGGAGGUAGAAUUAGGUGUGAAACGCAUCAGUCGGUCUCGAACCUCGCUCACCAAGUUCAUGAACCAAGUGAUGCACUCAGGCGGUUUCGGAAUGGAAGUUGGUGGCUCGUACGCCGGAUUUUCCGCCUCCGUUGGAAUGGACUUUGAUAAAUUCAAACAAAGCGACACUUUUCGUCAAAAUUAUGGGAGUCAUCAAUAUACAUUACAAUCGGGGUCUGAUUCUCUUCCGGAACCAAUCAGCCUCAAACUGGAGACCAUCGAUCUGGCUUUGGAUCCAGUCUACUGGCAGAGGUACGAUGAGCUGGUUGCUUCUGGGAUUUGUGCAUCGGAUGACCAACAGCACUUGCAGACACGAAAGUCGAACCUUGAACGAGCGCUCACUGAAUACGCAGCUUAUAAGAUGGCGCCAACUCCCUCUGAUCCCGAUUUGAAAAUUCCGCUCGUGUGGCCGAAGGGUACUUACGGACUGAUGAUGACGAUAUACGGGUGCCCAUCCCAUGAAUCCUUCACGUGGCACCAAGGUUACGUAAUCCAGGACACAGAAGACAGGCACAACAAAAACGCAUGGACAACGCCUUCUCAUGUCUACGGUGUGAAAGACGACAAAAGAAUUCAGACUGGGUUUUGUAUAAAAGGCGUUACUCAGGUGUCGAACUAUGAUAUGGAUUGGCCAAAGGGAGACUACUGCAUUCUGAAAUACGGAAAUCAGUGUCCUGAUGGCUUUCACCGUGGUUCUAUAUACUGGGACGAUGAAGACCCAGGGGAUAGAAACCAUAGGAGUGGAACUCUGCCUGAUGGUUACUUUGGGACAAAUACUGAGGUCGAAUACUGCUGCAGGGCUGACGCAUUACCUUACGAGGCGAUCGCUUUACCCAAUGAGAGGCCAUUUAUCCUUCUACGUCAUCGGAGAGGCUGUCAGGUCGUGCACGACAUGGACGUGAGAGAGGAAACCAUCCAAUGGGAUACGGAGGAUGACGACAACAACAACCAUAUGUCUGGAGACCACCCGUACGAGGACGGCACUGGACACAUCAGGCUGCACUUCUGCGUUUACACAAAGAAAGACACUAUGUCGUUUUCAUCCGUGGUAGGCUGACAAUGUAAUAAAAGUUAAUUGGC